GACAGUUUUUUUUUUUUAAUUUAAAUAAUUCUCUGUGGCUCUGUCUCUGUCUCUGUCUGUCUGUUACUCUCUCCUCUUUCCAUUCUCAGAACAUUAAAAGUCCCGCCGGUUGUAGAAAGGACUAUAUUUGAGAUCUGCGUUUUGUUUUUUUUUUGUUUGUUUGUUUGUUUUUUUGUCGAAAGGGAGGGGGAGAUCCAUGGUUUUGCUAAUAACUGACCCGGGAAAGGGUCGGAGGAAGGAGAAACUACUUCAUUUCGUAAUUGUGACUUUCUUUUGAUAAAGUUAAAGGGAGAAGAAAAUCAACUGUAUUCAUCCCCAUUCUGGUUUGACUGCUUCCUGGAAUUCCUCACAACUGUCAUACUUUCGUGCCAGGGUCUGGAAAGCCACCCCACUUUGUGACAACAAGGCAUGUGUCAAACAAUUACAGGAGGAGGGGCAAGGUAGCUCUACUCAAUGGCAAAGUAUCCCCUCCCUUCUCCGUUCAUUCCAGGGCUAUCGGGACUUUGUAUAUCAUGUGCACUGGGAGACAUUUAAUGGAACCCUGUCCAAGAGAGAGAAAUUAUAAGUUCAAAUCCAGGCUCCCCCAUUUCCCAUUUGACAGCUGUUUCUCACUGCCUCCAGAUGCUUUGACAUCAUGCUGAGAGUGAACAUGGCAAAGGAUUGAGAUCAUUUUACAAGUUGAGGACUUCGUGACAUUUCUGUUGGGCUUGGGGGAGUGGUUUGUCUAAGGUCACCUGGCCAACCAGUAAUAAGCUCAUGAUUAGUCAGUCUAGUAAUCUAUUUGCUAUACCAGUGGUUCUUAAGACUUGUCAAUCCCUUGAUAUAACACCUUUUUGGACUUCUGUUUUGUGUUGACAAAAGAAGCUGUUGCAUUGCAACAAGAAGUUAACAUGCUUAACCUUUGGCAAAGUGAGUCAAGUGAUUAAUACUCCCUAACUCUUACUUCUUCAUCUCUGUGAAAUGUGGUGCUCCUCUUCAUAACAGAAAUACACAUAUGCAUGUGCACACAUACUUGAUGUUGUUUAGUUGUAUCUGACUCUUUUUUUACCACAUUUUGGGUUUUCUUGGCAAACACAUUGGAAUGCUAUAUCAUUUCCUUCUUCAGCUCAUUUCACAAAUGAGAAGUUGAGGCAAAUAGGGCAAAGUGACUUCCUGGGGACACACAGCUAGUAAGUGUCUGAGGUCAGAUUUGAACUCAGGAAGAUGAAAUUUCCUCACCCCAGGCUCAGUGAUUUAUCCAUUGAUCUAGCUACCUACCUCCUCACCUCCCCACACACACUACUAAAAAUCAUGAAAUAACUGGGUUUAGUUCUGAAAGAGCUCUCAGAGGUCAUUUAAUCCAACCUCUUUAUGCGACAAAUGAGGUAACAAGAUGAGAGAAUUUGUGUUUUGCCUAAAAUCACAUGCCUUUGGUGUACUUUAAGUCAAAAACGUAUUGAGGGCAAACAGUUGAUCAAUCCUUCGUGGGAAUGAGAUAUGGCUCUCUGUGGGUGUCACUAACACAAAACAUGAGGGCUCUGUGAGGAAAGAUGGUGGGCACAGGGAUUCCGUGUUUGUGAAUUUGCACAUAAAAGGUCUUGUUUUUGCAGAGCUAUCCAGGGUUUCCAAUCUCUCAGUCUUUUCUUGGGACUCUGCAACAUU
ensembl:lncRNA